GUAUUAUAAAUUAAUAAUUUCAAUUUCGACUUGAAUAAUAAAAUUUAAAUAUUUUC
rnacentral:tRNA from 1 species